rnacentral:rRNA from 1 species
UACGAAGGGGGCUAGCGUUGCUCGGAAUCACUGGGCGUAAAGGGCGCGUAGGCGGCCUGAUCAGUCGGGGGUGAAAGCCUGUGGCUCAACCACAGAAUGGCCUUUGAUACUGUCGGGCUUGAGACCGGAAGAGGUAAGUGGAACUGCGAGUGUAGAGGUGAAAUUCGUAGAUAUUCGCAAGAACACCAGUGGCGAAGGCGGCUUACUGGUCCGGAUCUGACGCUGAGGCGCGAAAGCGUGGGGAGCAAACAGG